AGAGCGAACGCUGGCGGCAGGCCUAAAACAUGCAAGUCGAACGGAUCCUUCGGGAUUAGUGGCGGACGGGUGAGUAACACGUGGGAACGUGCCUUUUGGUUCGGAACAACUCAGGGAAACUUGAGCUAAUACCGAAUGUGCCCUUCGGGGGAAAGAUUUAUCGCCAUUAGAGCGGCCCGCGUCUGAUUAGCUAGUUGGUGAGGUAACGGCCCACCAAGGCGACGAUCAGUAGCUGGUCUGAGAGGAUGAUCAGCCACACUGGGACUGAGACACGGCCCAGACUCCUACGGGAGGCAGCAGUUAGGAAUCUUGCGCAAUGGGGGAAACCCUGACGCAGCCAUGCCGCGUGAAUGAUGAAGGUCUUAGGAUUGUAAAAUUCUUUCAGCGGGGACGAUAAUGACGGUACCCGCAGAAGAAGCUCCGGCUAACUUCGUGCCAGCAGCCGC
rnacentral:rRNA from 1 species